CACAUGAUGGCUCACAACCAUCUGUAAUGGGAUCUGGUGCCCUCUUCUGGUGUGUCUGAAGAUAGCUACAGUGUACUCAUAUAAAUAAUAAAAAAAAAAAAAAAGAAAGAAAGAAAAAAGAAAAAAAAGAACCCUUCAAGAGUGAGGCAUGGCAAUGAGAAUCUGAGACAGGAGCAUCGUGAGUUCAAGUGCAGCCUGGGCUACACAGCAAGGUGCUUUCUCUUCCUCUUUCCCCCAUGAACAAAAUGAAAAAGAAUUAGCUCUUCAUUAUAAUUAUUUUAUAGAGAACAUUAAAGCAAAGCAAGACACUGAAGGACAUUUUUAUUUUUUUGAGAUGAUGUUAUCUUUUUUAUCACCUGCUAACGAGAUUGAGACACACGUAUUGGGAGUGCAUGAAUAAUUCAUGUGGCACUAUCGCUGUUUUAAGAAAAACUAACCUGGGCUGUAUCUAAUAAAGAUGACUGAGUG
rnacentral:lncRNA from 1 species